AACGCGAAGAACCUUACCCAGGCUUGACAUCCUGCGAAGGUCUCCGAAAGGAGACUGUGCCUUCGGGAAUGCAGUGACAGGUGUUGCAUGGCCGUCUUCAGCUCGUGUCGUGAGAUGUUUGGUUAAGUCCAUCAACGAGCGCAACCCUUAUAGUUAGUUGAAUUUUUCUAGCUAGACUGCCCUGGUAACAGGGAGGAAGGAGGGGAUGAUGUCAGGUCCGUAUUACCCUUACGCCUGGGGCUACAAACACGCUACAAUGGCCGGUACAAAGGGCUGCCAAGUCGCGAGACGGAGCAAAUCCCAUCAAAGCCGGUCCCAGUUCGGAUUGCAGGCUGAAACUCGCCUGCAUGAAGUCGGAAUCGCUAGUAACGGUGAGUCAGCACAUCACCGUGAAUACGUUCCCGGGCCUUGUACACACCGCUACAGU
rnacentral:rRNA from 1 species